rnacentral:rRNA from 1 species
AUUGAACGCUGGCGGCAGGCCUAACACAUGCAAGUCGAGCGGAUGAAGGGAGCUUGCUCCUGGAUUCAGCGGCGGACGGGUGAGUAAUGCCUAGGAAUCUGCCUGGUAGUGGGGGAUAACGUCCGGAAACGGGCGCUAAUACCGCAUACGUCCUGAGGGAGAAAGUGGGGGAUCUUCGGACCUCACGCUAUCAGAUGAGCCUAGGUCGGAUUAGCUAGUUGGUGGGGUAAAGGCCUGCCAAGGCGACGAUCCGUAACUGGUCUGAGAGGAUGAUCAGUCACACUGGAACUGAGACACGGUCCAGACUCCUACGGGAGGCAGCAGUGGGGAAUAUUGGACAAUGGGCGAAAGCCUGAUCCAGCCAUGCCGCGUGUGUGAAGAAGGUCUUCGGAUUGUAAAGCACUUUAAGUUGGGAGGAAGGGCAGUAAGCUAAUACCUUGCUGUUUUGACGUUACCAACAGAAUAAGCACCGGCUAACUUCGUG